UUGGGCUCUUGGAAUCAAAAGAACGUGUCAGUUCGAAAGGCUUAGACGAACAUUUUGGGGAUAUGUGUUCUUCUCUAGCCACAGUGCCUUGAACAGCCUUAGUCCAAGAAACUGAUAAAAUGGAAAUUUUCAUCAAGGAAAAGCAAUAAUCAAUCCAAGAGUAGGCUACAUCUCUUUAGAAGAAAAGCCUAAGUGGGAUCAUUCCACUUGAAAAAUCUCCAAGGCUCUACUGGAAAGAACACACAGGAGAGCUGAUGGUGAAGCGGUCAAAAACUGACAAAGUGAACUUUAAAUUGAUUCCCAAGAACGUUUGCUGCUGACAACAGCCAACCUGCCCACUCCAAGGCUUGCUUUAUUGCUGUUGAAAUCCGUGCAAAGGUUUUAGCUCACAGAUUGUAACUUGCUGGGAGAAGACGCGGGAAGGUAACCGAACUGUUGGAGCUCUGUAGCACUGGGCAGUUUUUGUAACCUGUUUUCAAGU
rnacentral:lncRNA from 1 species